CUGGAGGACCAGGGUUCUUGCCACCGGGAGGACCCGGCUUCUUCCCACCCAUUGGUGGUUUCUUUUCUGGGUUCUCAGACAUGAUAUGUUCCUGUCUAUCUUGUCUGUGCUGCUGCUGGCUGCUACGAGAUUGCUUUGGCGGCUCACCACCACAAGGACCGCCACUUCUUCCUCCCUAUAAUUGAUCACAUCUAGCUCUUUUGGUCACAAGCAUAAUAUUAAAGCGAUCUCUGUAUAUGAUAUUGCUGAUGCUUGUCAAAUGUAAUCUUAUAUAUGACUCAGAUACUUCAAAUAUCUGGAUUACUGCUCUGUCUGGAUAUAUAUUCUCCAAAAAAACGAUCAAAUUAAUUAUCAGAGAAAUGAAAUCAUAGUCUGGAACUA